UUCAUUGAAAAUGCUCUGUGUCGCUUAGGAAGAACUUACUGAGGCAGCCUGCCAUCUAGCUUUUUCACAGAAAAACAGGCUUACAGACUGCAGAUGAGAGAGUCUGGAGCAGAGACAGUUUUAACUUAGCCAUUCCUAAUUUAUCUCAAGCAUAUUCAAUUCAUCUUCACUGCUCUAUGCACACAGGAACACCAGAUUGUCGUCCCUAGGGAACAGAAUGCAACCGGAGAUCUAGAGAGCUGUCACAUUCCAAGAAAUAUUUAAAUUGUGCUGAUUUUCUUCUGGAGAACUGAGCCCAGGGAAUGAAACUCUCCAUCAAGUCAUAGCUUUGCGGGCAAUAGAUCAGAGGAUAUUGCCAGUUUUCUAAUGGAUUAUUGUUAUCGGGCAGGUUUUCUCUGAAGAGUACAUCAUGAGAAACGCUGGGCUGGAAGAAGCACAAGCUGGAAUCAAGAUUGCCGGGAGAAAUAUCAAUAACCUCAGAUAUGCAGAUGACACCACCCUUAUGGCAGAAAGUGAAGAGGAGCCAAAGAGCCUCUUGAUGAAAGUGAAAGAAGAGAGUGGAAAAAGUUGGCUUAUAACUCAACAUUCAGAAAACUAAGAUCAUGCAUCCAGUCCCAUCACUUCAUGGCAAAUAGAUGGGGAAAAAAUGGAAACUCAGAAACUUUUCUUGGGUUCCAAAAUCACUGCAGAUGGUGACUGAAACCAUGAAAUUAAAAGAUGCUUGUUCGUUGGAAGAAAAGCUAUGACCAACCUAGACAGCAUAUUAAAAAGCAGAGACAUUAUUUUGCCAGCAAAACUCCAUCUAGUCAAAUCUAAGGUUUUUCCAGUAGUCAUGCAUGGAUGGGAGCGUUGGACUAUAAAGAAUGCUGAGCACUGAAGAACUGAUACUUUUGAACUGUGGCGGUAUCAGAGAAGACUGUUGAGAGUUUCUUGGACUGCAAGGAGAUCCAACCAAUCCAUCCUAAAGUAAAUCAGUCUUUAAUAUCCAGUUGAAGGACUGAUGCUGAAGCUGAAACAUCCAAUCCUUUGGCCACCUGAUGUGAGGAACUGGAGAGCCUCUUGAUGAAAGUGAAAGAGGAGAGUGGAAAAAGUUGGCUGAAAACUCAACAUUCAGAAAACUAAGAUCAUGCAUCCAGUCCCAUAACUUCAUGGCAAAUAGAUAAGGAAACAGUGCAGGCAUGAUUUUGGGGGGCUCCAAAAUCACUGCAGAUGUUGAUUGCCAUCAUGAAAUUAAAAGACGCUUAAUCCGUUCUGAAGGAGAUCAGCCAUGGGAUUUCUUUGGAAGGAAUGAUGCUAAAGCUGAAACUCCAGUACUUGGGCCACCUCAUGCGAAGAGUUGACUCAUUGGAAAAGACUCUGAUGCUGAGAGGGAUUGGGGGCAGGAGGAGAAGGGGACGACAGAGGAUGAGAUGUCUGGAUGGCAUCACCGACUCAAUGGACAUGAGUCUGAGUGAACUCCAGGAGUUGGUGAUGGACAGGGAGGCCUGGUGUGCUGUUAUUCAUGGGGUCACAAAGAGUCGGACAUGACUGAGUGACUGAACUGAACUGAACUCCUU
ensembl:lncRNA